rnacentral:rRNA from 1 species
GAGUUUUGAUCCUGGCUCAGGAUGAACGCUAGCUACAGGCUUAACACAUGCAAGUCGGAGGGGAAACGAUAUUGGAAAGCUUGCUUCCGAUAGGCGUCGACCGGCGUACGGGUGAGUAACGCGUAUCCAACCUGCCCACCACUUGGGGAUAACCUUGCGAAAGUAAGACUAAUACCCAAUGACGUCUCUAGAAGACAUCUGAAAGAGAUUAAAGAUUUAUCGGUGAUGGAUGGGGAUGCGUCUGAUUAGCUUGUUGGCGGGGUAACGGCCCACCAAGGCGACGAUCAGUAGGGGUUCUGAGAGGAAGGCCCCCACAUUGGAACUGAGACACGGUCCAAACUCCUACGGGAGGCAGCA